CAAAUACUCCCUCCGUCCGGAAAUACUUGUCAUCAAAAUGGAUAAAAGGAAAUGUAUCUAGACGUAUUUUAGUUUUAGAUACAUCUCUUUUUAUCCAUUUUGAUGACAAGUAUUUUCGGACGGAGGGAGUAUUUA
rfam:Triticum aestivum genome assembly, contig: Triticum_aestivum_CS42_TGACv1_scaffold_514829_6BS